GACAGAGGGUGCAAACGUUGCUCGGAAUUACUGGGCGUAAAGCGCGUGUAGGCGGGACGAUAAGUCAGGUGUGAAAUCCCUAGGCUCAACCUAGGAACUGCAUUUGAAACUGUCGGCCUUGAGUGAUGGAGAGGAUGGCGGAAUUCCUGGUGUAGAGGUGAAAUUCGUAGAUAUCAGGAGGAACACCGAUGGCGAAGGCGGCCAUCUGGAAAUCUACUGACGCUGAGACGCGAAAGCGUGGGGAGCAAACAGG
rnacentral:rRNA from 1 species